CCCUAUAUUUUGAAUUUCAUCUGCUGUUAUUGCUACUCUGUAGGCCUCAAGUCAUUCAGUGCUGUGAGAACUGCUGUUCGUGUCCUCUGGUCGUGUCUACACCUUGUAAAACUGAUAUCACGUCUAUUACCAAGACUGAACCUGGGUUGAAAGAAAUAUUUCCAAGAAUUUUUGCUUUCAGGAUAUCUGAUUGGUAUCUCCAGGAUAUCUUAUGCAAAAACUGUCCUCAACAGAUUGUUUCAGCUGUCCUUCCUUUUUUAAUAGAAAAAAUGGUCAGUUAAAAUUGGCAUUGAAGAAGUACAACAAAUGUAUUCUGAACCAAGGUUGUGCGAUUUGCCAAGUAUGAAAAACUGCACAUCAUUAUCAGUUCAAUAGCACUAAAUUUUAUGCACAUUUGGUUUAUGAUGUAACAUGUUGUUUCAUGCUUGAGUCUUUGAACUGAAUACAAUAAGUCUUCCAAUAGCAUCAAUGUUUUUAGCAAUUUCAGUGAAAAUGUCAAAGACAAAGAAUGUUGCAGCUGUCACAAUGGAAAGAUUUCAUAACUUGGUGUUUUCCUACCUACAAUAAAUGAACUAGAAAGGUGACAGGUGACGAAACUUGGGUUGUCAUUUCACACCAGAAUCGAAACAACAAUCGAUGGAGUGGAGACACACUCAUUCUCCAAAAAAUAAAAAUUUCAAAGUACAAUGUCAUCACAAA